AAGAGGUGUAUAUAGACCAUUAGAGCUGCUAACUCAAAUAGCUAAGAUUAAUACCCUUAGACCUCUUA
rnacentral:tRNA from 1 species